UUGUUUAGCAAGGCAUCUGGCAGGGUUUGCACAGUGAAAGGGAGGAUGCGGGCAUCAACCAAGUGGAGGAGGGAGUCACAGAAAUCCAAACUGGAAGGGGUGGACAAAGCCGGGAAAGACUCAAGAGAAGAACAAGAGGAUUCGGCAAGAUAAAAGUAAGAACAGUCAUCAGGCAGGUGCGGUCACGAGGCUUUGUGGUUGCAAUUAAGAAACAACAGAGUCAUCGGAAGGGCCCUGUCCUGGUCAUGCUAGCUCUACUGUACCUCAGCAACACACUGACUCUUCUGAUUAAGUUUCCUCAUCUAAGACACCCACCAUCGAGCUCUUCAAGGGGUAAAUGAAGAGCAGAUGCAACAAUGCUGCAAGCUGAAACUCCAGCAGCUCCUAUCAAGUGAAGUUGAAAUGGAGUGACAACAAGGAAGAUGGAUGUUUCUCCACUUGUUCUGCACGCGAUUAGCUCACCUUACAGUCACAAUCUGCCCUCCAUCCAGGAUGACACCG